CCUACGGGUGGCAGCAGUGAGGAAUAUUGGUCAAUGGGCGUGAGCCUGAACCAGCCAAGUAGCGUGAAGGAUGACUGCCCUAUGGGUUGUAAACUUCUUUUAUAAAGGAAUAAAGUUAUCCACGUGUGCCUCUUUGCAUGUACCCUAUGAAUAAGCAUCGGCUAACUCCGUGCCAGCAGCCGCGGUAAUACGGAGGAUCCGAGCGUUAUCCGGAUUUAUUGGGUUUAAAGGGUGCGUAGGUGGGUUGUUAAGUCAGUUGUGAAAGUUUGCGGCUCAACCAUAAAAUUGCAGUUGAUACUGGCAGCCUUGAGUGCGGUUGAGGUAGGCGGAAUUCGUGGUGUAGCGGUGAAAUGCUUAGAUAUCACGAAGAACUCCGAUUGCGAAGGCAGCCUACUAAGCUGCAACUGACAUUGAUGCUCGAAAGUGUGGGGAUCAAACAGGAUUAGAUACCCUUGUAGUC
rnacentral:rRNA from 1 species